rnacentral:rRNA from 1 species
GGGGGGGGGGGGGGGGGGGGGGGGGGGGGGGGGGGGGGGGGGGCAGGGGGGGGGCUGGCGGCUGUGACGUUGGCGGCGGGCGGGGGAGUACCACGGGGCGAAGCUACAUGUAAGGCUGGGAUGACUUCGGGAAAGCGGAGCUAAUACCGGAUACGAUAUUUAGCCGCAUGGUUCAAUAGUGAGAGACGCUUUUGCGGUAAGUUAGAGAUGUAUCCGCGCCGCCUGAGAGAGUUGGUAAGGUAACGGCUUACCCAGGCAACGAUGCGUAGCCGACCUGAGAGGGUGAUCGGCCACACGUGAACUGAGACACGGUCCAUACUCCUACGAGAGGCAGCAGUAGGGAAUCUUCCGCAAUGGGCGAAAGCCUGACGGAGCAACGCCGCGUGCGUGAUGAAGGUCUUCGGAUCGUAAAACUCUGUUAUUAGGGAAGAACAAAUGUGUAAGUAACUAUGCACGUCUUGACGGUACCUAAGCAGAAAGCCACGGCUAACUACGUG